rnacentral:rRNA from 1 species
GACGAACGCUGGCGGCGUGCCUAACACAUGCAAGUCGAACGAAAAGGCCCUGCGCUUGCUCCGUUCUCGAGUGGCGCACACGUGAGUGAAACGCGUGUAACAUGCCCUUGUCUUUGGGAUAAAUUCUGGGGAAUCGGGCUCUUACACGGUAUAAGCUCCUGAUGCAUGGUGUUGAAUGGUAAAAUUCGGCGGUUGGGGCUGGACUCGCGGCUUCUCAGCUUGUUGGUGGGGUAGUGGCUUACAAGGGCUUUGACGGGUAGCCGGCCUGCGAGGGUGACCGGCCACAUUGGGACUGAGGUACGGCCCAGACUCCUACGUGAGGCAGCAGUGGGAAAUAUUGCGCAGUGGGCGGAAGCCUGAUGCAGCAACGUCGCGUGCGGGAAGACGGCCUUCGGGUGGUAAACCGCUGUCGCCUGUGACGAAGAGUGAGUGACGGUAAUGGGUAAGAAAGCACCGGCUAACUACGUG